GUGGGAAGGACCAAGCCAAGGAGGAGUUUGCACCAUGGGUGAUCUCCAGAAGGAUCCUGAGCCCAGUUAAUUCCCAGUACCCCGAUGGGAAUCAGCAAACGUCCUGGAGCAGAGGAGCUGCACAAGCCAAAGUGGGAAAUACAAGUGAUCCCUUGGGAAGGCUCUUCUCUGCAGAACUCAGCCCAGGGAUCUGGGACAUCUCCAGGAUCUGGGACUUUCUGCUUCCAGAAUCGUUUCAGGUUGGUGGAAAGGAUGGGGCACCGAGUUUGGAUGAUGCUGAGGCUGGGGAGGGAAGGAAACAGCAGCACCCAUGUUUGUGGGUGUGAAUAAAUGUCAGAAUGAAUUCUGGGGCUCCAUGAAAUGAGAGAAGGCCCUUCCUGAUCAGGCAGCAAAAUGCAGGUGGAACCAAUGAGAGAGAAAUCCCAGAGGUGAAUCCAUGGAAACCUGUCCUUAAUCCCAUGAAGGAUCCCUAGAAAGCUGAAAAUCUCAGUACAAAAAGAACUGAGAGUGUCCUGCCUGUUGAACUUCCA
rnacentral:lncRNA from 1 species